rnacentral:rRNA from 1 species
AACGAACGAGACUCUAACCUGCUAAAUAGUACGGUUGCAAUUUUUAUGUGGACCUCUGUUCUUGUGCCUCUGGUACUUGAAUAGAACCACAUAAGCAGGUGAAACUUCUUAGAGGAACUGGCGCCCGAAAAGGCGCACGAGAAAGAGCAAUAACAGGUCUGUGAUGCCCUAAGAUGUCCGGGGCCGCACGCGUGCUACAAUGACGAUGCUACUGAGCAUGAUUAACUUGUCCGAAAGGAUUGGUGAAACUGUUCAAUCAUCGUCGUGACUGGGAUUGGGGUUUGCAAUUGUCCCCCAUGAACCAGGAAUUCCUAGUAAGCACAAGUCAUAAGCUUGUGCUGAUUACGUCCCUGCCCUUUGUACACACCGCCCGUCGCUACUACCGAUUGAAUGGUUUAGCAAGGACAUUGGAUUGAGCCCUUGCGGUUUCGGCUGCUUGGGUUUGAGAAGAUGUCCGAACUUGAUCAUUUAGAGGAAGUAAAAGUCGUAACAAGGUUUCCGUAGGUGAACCUGCGGAAGGAUCAUU